AGGACGAACGCUGGCGGCGUGCUUAACACAUGCAAGUCGAGCGGAAAGGCCCUUCGGGGGCACUCGAGCGGCGAACGGGUGAGUAACACGUGAGUAACCUGCCCCUAGCUCUGGGAUAGCUCCGGGAAACCGGGAUUAAUACCAGAUACGACCACUUUAGACAUCUGUCGUGGUGGAAAGGAUUCCGGCUAGGGAUGGGCUCGCGGCCUAUCAGCUUGUUGGUGGGGUAACGCCUACCAAGGCGACGACGGGUA
rnacentral:rRNA from 1 species